AUCUCUCUCUCGCUCGCGUUUAGAUUCAACUAACUCAUUGAUUUAUCACUUUUUUCUCUCUCUCUGUGAGACAGAGAUCAGUGUGUGGAUCAUCGAUGCAGCGAUUGAAGUUCGAUUGCUCGUGCCGAUGAAGGCCAUUCGUGAAUGGAAUUGUCACGAGAGUACUUGACUGUUUGAAUUUCGGUAAUGAUCGUCGUACUAAUGCCGGUGAGCGUGGCAUCCAUCAUCGUCUUUUUCGGUCUUGAUAAGUGGCUUAACUUGCGCGUGACUUCCGUACUCUCACGAGUCGAGUCGAGUCGUAUCGAGAGUCGAUUGUGUUUCGAGUUGAAUCGCGACGCUGUCAUGCUUCAUUCGUAAAAAGUAUCGCGUUCGGACAAUUCCUAAUCGGUUUUGUCUCUCGCGAAUGAUGAAGAGAGAGGAGAAAAGAAAGUCUAAUCGUCUUUCUUGACGCGUUGUCAUUACGUUUGCGAGUCUCUUUCGGAUUCUCGCUAUUCGAGGCUCGAGGAAUCUCUUUGUCCAAAGUGAACUAUGACAGAGUUAAAUUGCGAUAGCCGGCGGUGGCUGUGUGUGCGUAUGUGAGAUCAGAAUUCAGGAGAAUUCAGGGAAUGGACCACAAGUGCAGCGAAACUGCCAAGUACAGUCGGCUGUUGUGCAACUAAGUGCAUCAGCUGGUCAUCGAGGUUGUCGAACAAACGUAAUUGGCGUCGUCAUCACUCAUGAAGACUUCAAGUUUACAGAAUUACGGAACAUCCAGACAAUUGGGAAGUUGUCGGACGCCGAGUUUGCCACGUCGUCUAGGGGUAAAAAUGGGAACACGAGCGAUCUACAGCAACCUCGUGCAGAAAGACACCGCCCUUACCGACGACAUGGAGUCGCUAUCAUUAAAAUCAGACACGGAGUCUUCGAUUGUCAUUAUCCGCACGAUCAACGGAAUCUCCUCUACCGGAAGCAUACGUGCUCAACGCUGACAUCCGUACAGAUGACGAGACGUUCCGUGUGCCGGAGGACGAGUCGAUGUCCGCUUCCUUAGCAGCGCGUCUUGAAGAGUUGUCGUUUGCCGAGGAACGAAUCCUGCAGACGAUUAAGUUGGAAAGGAGCCACGGUGGCAGCAUAGGGUUACAAGUGACAGAGGGUAACGAUGGUGGCGUCUAUGUCCAAGCGGUGUCGGUAGGAGGAUCGGCCGAUAUGGCCGGAAACGUGAACAAUGGUAAGCCUGAAGCGACAUUC